rnacentral:rRNA from 1 species
UACAGAGGUCUCAAGCGUUGUUCGGAUUCAUUGGGCGUAAAGGGUGCGUAGGCGGGGCGGUAAGUCGGGUGUGAAAUCUCGGAGCUUAACUCCGAAACUGCAUUCGAUACUGCCGUGCUUGAGGACUGGAGAGGAGACUGGAAUUUACGGUGUAGCGGUGAAAUGCGUAGAUAUCGUAAGGAAGACCAGUGGCGAAGGCGGGUCUCUGGACAGUUCCUGACGCUGAGGCACGAAGGUCAGGGGAGCAAACGGG